rnacentral:tRNA from 1 species
GUAGGCAUAGCUCAGUGAUAGAGUGCAUGUUUAGCAUGCACAAGGUCCUGGGUUCAAACUCCAGUACCUCCA